rnacentral:rRNA from 1 species
UACGGAGGGGGCGAGCGUUAUUCGGAAUUAUUGGGCGUAAAGGGCGCGUAGGCGGCUUUACAAGUCAAAGGUGAAAUCCCUCGGCUCAACUGAGGAACUGCCUUUGAAACUGUACGGCUUGAGGCCGGGAGGGGGUAGCGGAAUUCCCAGUGUAGCGGUGAAAUGCGUAGAUACUGGGAGGAACACCAGUGGCGAAGGCGGCUACCUGGACCGGUUCUGACGCUGAGGCGCGAAAGCGUGGGUAGCAAACAGG